CUUUGGUAACAAUAGAAAUUGGUCUCGUAUUGACUCAAUUGGUCGUCAGUUUUGGGUAUAUAAGACCGCGCUGGCGAGUGGGUGCCACAGAUCCUGAACUAGCAGCAGAAUCAUGAACUUCUACUACAUCUUCACCGUUGCCGCUUUGGGCCUGAUGGCACUGGCUGGAAACGCACACGCGCAGCUAGGCGACAUGACGAAGAACAUUCCUGAUCCAAAGGAAUUCAUGAAACAAACACCCGUCGGCAGAAAGUAAUGAAGAUAUUUUUUUCCAUGCAAUAAAUUUAUUCCUUUAAACUAG